AUUAAGGUACAAUCGUUUUCUUGUGUUGGCUUGAUUCAGUUUCUUUUUGGGUCAAUCUGACUUUUCUCUUGCACAUCACUAUUCAUGAAAAACUCACAUUUUCCGUCAAUUCCAAUUUGUGCUACCGAAGCAACAAAAUAAACAAAUUCCGACAAUUUCAGUUCUUGCUGACUUUUUAUUUCUAGGGUUUCGUUGAUUUUCGCAGAUAUUGUUGCAUCGAGGUAGUAACCAAAAGGAGCCGCACUUGGUGGGCAGCCAAUAUUAUCUUGCUAUGAAAGUUUGUUGCUGCAUUCUAAGGUCAUAUUCUUCAAAAGGAAAUGAAACUAGCCAAGGACGAGCUCGAAGACAUUUGGAUUGUGUUGUUUUUUUCUGGCAUUUCAUAUGUAUAGAAUUCCUAUUUAUUAUGAAUUUUUAAUAAAAUGUUCCUUGAUCAUUCUGUUUGAUAGAA